CACUCCUACGGGAGGCAGCAGUGGGGAAUUUUGGACGAUGGGCGAAAGCCUGAUCCAGCAAUGCCGCGUGAGUGAAGAAGGCCUUCGGGUUGUAAAGCUCUUUUGUCAGGGAAGAAACGGUGAGAGCUAAUAUCUUUUGCUAAUGACGGUACCUGAAGAAUAAGCACCGGCUAACUACGUGCCAGCAGCCGCGGUAAUACGUAGGGUGCAAGCGUUAAUCGGAAUUACUGGGCGUAAAGCGUGCGCAGGCGGUUUUGUAAGUCUGAUGUGAAAUCCCCGGGCUCAACCUGGGAAUUGCAUUGGAGACUGCAAGGCUAGAAUCUGGCAGAGGGGGGUAGAAUUCCACGUGUAGCAGUGAAAUGCGUAGAUAUGUGGAGGAACACCGAUGGCGAAGGCAGCCCCCUGGGUCAAGAUUGACGCUCAUGCACGAAAGCGUGGGGAGCAAACAGGAUUAGAUACCCCAGUAGUCCCAUG
rnacentral:rRNA from 1 species